rnacentral:rRNA from 1 species
UAUACAUGAGCAAAAUCUCAACUGUUUUAGAAGAGAAGCAUUUAUUAGAUAAAAAACCAAUAUAUGUUUUUAAAGCAUAAAAAUUGGUGAUAUACAAUAACUAAGCAAAUCGCACAGUGCAAACUGGCGAUAAAUCAUUCAAGUUUCUGACCUAUCAGCUUUCGACGGUAAGGUAUUGGCUUACCGUGGCAGUGACGGUUAACGGGGAAUUAGGGUUCAAUUCCGGAGAGGGAGCCUGAGAAACGGCUACCACAUCUAAGGAAGGCAGCAGGCGCGCAAAUUACCCAAUUCUAACAGCAUAAGAGAGGUAGUGACAAGAAAUAACAGUACAAGGCAGUUAAAAUGCUUUGUAAUUGGAAUGAUAGAAAUUUAAAUACUUUUUAAAGUAUCAAUUGGAGGGCAAGUCUGGUGCCAGCAGCCGCGGUAAUUCCAGCUCCAAUAGCGUAUAUUAAAAUUGUUGCAGUUAAAAAGCUCGUAGUUGAAUUUUUG